CUCUGAGAGCUACACUCUCUGAAACACUGGUGUUCCAAUCUCACCUUCAGCAGGCUCCUAUACAGGGGGGAGGGAGGAACGAUGGAUAGGUUGAGAGCGAGAGACAGGAACGUUGGUUAGGUUUUACACAGGAGAGAGAGGAACGUUGGUUAGUUUUUACACAGGAGAGAGAGGAACGUUGGUUAGGUUUUACACAGGAGGGAGAGGAACGUUGGUUAGGUUUUACACAGAGGGAGAGGAACGUUGGUUAGGUUUACACAGGAGAGAGAGGACGUGUUAGGUUAGGUUUUACACAGGAGAGAGAGGAACGUUGGUUAGGUUUUACACAGGAGAGAGGGAACGUUGGUUAGGUUUUACACAGGAGAGAGAGGAACGUUGUUAGGUUUUACACAGGAGGGAGGGAACGUUGGUUAGGUUUUACACAGGAGAGAGAGGAAGAGGAACGUUGGUUAGGUUUUACACAGAGAGGAGGAAGAGGAACGUUGGUUAGGUUUUACACAGGAGAGAGAGGGGAGGAACGUUGGUUAGGUUUUACACAGGAGAGAGAGGAAGAGGAACGUUGGUUAGGUUUUACAACAGGAGAGAGAGGAAGAGGAACGUUGGUUAGGUUUUACACAGGAGAGAGAGAACGUUGGUUAGGUUUUACACAGGAGAGAGAGGAAGAGGAACGUUGGUUAGGUUUUACACAGAGGGAGAGGAACGUUGGUUGGUUUUACACAGAGGAGGGAGAGGACGUUGGUUAGGUUUUACACAGGAGGAGGAGGAACGUUGUUAGGUUUUACACAGGAGAGAGAGGGAGAGGAACGUUGGUUGGUUUUACACAAAGAGAGGAGAGGAAGAGGACGUUGGUUAGGUUUUACACAGGGAGAGGAACGUUGGUUAGGUUUUACACAGGAGGAAGAGGAACGUUGGUUAGGUUUUACACAGGAGGAAGAGGAACGUUGGUUAGGUUUUACACAGGAGAGAGAGGAAGAGGAACGUUGGUUAGGUUUUACACAGGAGAGAGAGGAAGAGGAACGUUGGUUAGGUUUUACAAAGGAGGAAAGGACGUUGGUUAGGUUUUACACAGGAGAGAGAGGAACGUUGGUUGGUUUUACACAGGAGGAGAGGAAGAGGAACGUUGGUUAGGUUUUACACAGGAGAGAGAGGAACGUUGGUUAGGUUUUACACAGGAGAGAGAGGAACGUUGGUUAGGUUUUACACAGGAGAGAGAGGACGUUGGUUAGGUUUUUACACAGGAAAAGAGAGGAGGAGGAACGUUGGUUAGGUUUUACACAGGAAAGGGAGAGAGAGGAACGUUGGUAGGUUUUACACAGGAGAGAGAGCGAACAAGUUAGGUUGUUUCUUCAUUCUCCACCCUUUUGCUUCACCCUUUGCUCUUUCAGGCCGAUGUGUGGAUGUGUUGGAUGUCUCUGGUCUGCUCCAGAGGGGCCCUAAGUUCCUGGUUCCCCCGGGCCGCCGGGACCCUCUCUGUCUCCAGCCGCUGCCUCAGGGUCCUCUCCCU
rnacentral:lncRNA from 1 species